rnacentral:rRNA from 1 species
GAUUCCCCUAGUAACUGCGAGUGAAGCGGGAAAAGCUCAAAUUUAAAAUCUGGUGGUCUUUUGGCCGUCCGAGUUGUAAUCUAGAGAAGUGUUAUCCGCGCUGGACCGUGUACAAGUCUCCUGGAAUGGAGCAUCAUAGAGGGUGAGAAUCCCGUCUUUGACAUGGACUGCCAGGGCUUUUGUGAUGCGCUCUCAAAGAGUCGAGUUGUUUGGGAAUGCAGCUCAAAAUGGGUGGUAAAUUCCAUCUAAAGCUAAAUAUUGGCGAGAGACCGAUAGCGAACAAGUACCGUGAGGGAAAGAUGAAAAGAACUUUGGAAAGAGAGUUAAACAGUACGUGAAAUUGCUGAAAGGGAAACGCUUGAAGUCAGUCGCGUCAUCCAGGGAUCAACCUUGCUUUUGCUUGGUGCACUUUCUGGUUUGAUGGGUCAGCAUCAAUUUUGACCAUUGGAAAAAGGUCAAGGGAAUGUGGCAUCUUUGGAUGUGUUUAUAGCCCUUGGUCACAUACAAUGGUUUGGGAUUGAGGAACUCAGCACGCCGCAAGGCCGGGUUUAAAACCACGUACGUGCUUAGGAUGUUGACAUAUAUAAUGGCUUUAAUCGACCCGUCUUGAAACACGGACCAAGGAGUCUAACAUGCCUGCGAGUGUUUGGGUGGAAAACCCGAGCGCGUAAUGAAAGUGAAAAGUUGAGAUCCCUGUCGUGGGGAGCAUCGACGCCCGGACCAGACCUUUUGUGACGGUUCCGCGGUGGAGCAUGUAUGUUGGGACCCGAAAGAUGGUGAACUAUGCCUGAAUAGGGUGAAUCCAGAGGAAACUCUGGUGGAGGCUCGUAGCGAUUCUGACGUGCAAAUCGAUCGUCAAAUUUGGGUAUA